rnacentral:rRNA from 1 species
AGAGUUUGAUCCUGGCUCAGGACGAACGCUGGCGGCGUGCCUAACACAUGCAAGUCGAACGAAACUUUUUGCUUCGGUAGAAAGUUUAGUGGCGGACGGGUGAGUAACGCGUGAGGAACCUGCCUUUCAGAGGGGGAUAAUGUCUGGAAACGGACACUAAUACCGCAUGACAUUUUCUGUUCACAUGGACAGAAAAUCAAAGGAGCAAUCUGCUGAAAGAUGGACUCGCGUCCGAUUAGCUAGAUGGUGAGAUAAUAGCCCACCAUGGCGACGAUCGGUAGCCGGACUGAGAGGUUGAACGGCCACAUUGGGACUGAGACACGGCCCAGACUCCUACGGGAGGCAGCAGUGGGGGAUAUUGCACAAUGGAGGAAACUCUGAUGCAGCAACGCCGCGUGAAGGAAGACGGUUUUCGGAUUGUAAACCUCUGUCCUUGGUGACGAUAAUGACGGUAGCCGAGGAGCAAGCUCCGGCUAACUACGUGCCAGCAGCCGCGGUAAUACGUAGGGAGCGAGCGUUGUCCGGAUUUACUGGGUGUAAAGGGUGCGUAGGCGGCUGAACAAGUCAGGUGUGAAAACCAUGGGCUCAACUGAUGGAUUGCACUUGAAACUGUGCAGCUUGAGUGAAGCAGAGGCAGGUGGAAUUCCCGGUGUAGCGGUGAAAUGCGUAGAGAUCGGGAGGAACACCAGUGGCGAAGGCGGCCUGCUGGGCUUUAACUGACGCUGAAGCACGAAAGCAUGGGUAGCAAACAGGAUUAGAUACCCUGGUAGUCCAUGCUGUAAACGAUGAUUACUAGGUGUGGGGGGUCUGACCCCAUCCGUGCCGGAGUUAACACAAUAAGUAAUCCACCUGGGGAGUACG